GGCGGGCGCUCCGGGGCUGGAGCACAAUGGAGGGCGUGGGAGUGGCGGUGGUCUCCCUGUGCCGCGCGUAGGGAGAGCCGGGGCUUGUGCUCCCGAGUCUCUCCGGGUGCCUGCAUGCGUGUUCCGUGAGAUAUAUCGUGUGUGUGUGUGCGUGUUUGUGCGAGUGAUGGGUACCUCUGCGUGAGUGAAGGAUUGUAGAGAAAGUGUGUGUGAGUGUAUAAAUAAAUAUGUAUGGAAGGCUGGAGUGUGUUUGUGGAGGUGGUUGGUUUUUUGUUUUAUUUUUUUCCCCUUGUGCAUAUAUGCUCACUGGCAUUUGACAGCUAUAAAAAAACAACUAGAGGACCGUAAAAUUGAAUGUGGAGAAUCACAGACUUCCCCCACUACCCCUGUGGACGACGAGACCCAUGGGAGUGAAUUAGGUGGAAGAAGUGAGAUGAAAACAGAGGUGUAGCUGAAGUUGAAGCUGUAGCAAAGAGAAAGUGACCAUCUUUCUUGUUCUUUUAACUUCCAGGAUGCAUCUUAGUGGUCCUGAUGUGAACUCCAGCCUAAGCCAGGGAUGCUUCAUACCCUAAUAGCUUAGUUUUG